rnacentral:rRNA from 1 species
GACGAACGCUGGCGGCGUGCUUAACACAUGCAAGUCGAACGGAAAGGCCCUGCUUUUGUGGGGUGCUAGAGUGGCGAACGGGUGAGUAACACGUGAGUAACCUGCCCUUGACUUUGGGAUAACUUCAGGAAACUGGGGCUAAUACCGGAUAGGAGCUCCUGCUGCAUGGUGGGGGUUGGAAAGUUUCGGCGGUUGGGGAUGGACUCGCGGCUUAUCAGCUUGUUGGUGGGGUAGUGGCUUACCAAGGCUUUGACGGGUAGCCGGCCUGAGAGGGUGACCGGCCACAUUGGGACUGAGAUACGGCCCAGACUCCUACGGGAGGCAGCAGUGGGGAAUAUUGCACAAUGGGCGGAAGCCUGAUGCAGCAACGCCGCGGGCGGGAUGACGGCCUUCGGGUUGUAAACCGCUUUCGCCUGUGACGAAGCGUGAGUGACGGUAAUGGGUAAAGAAGCACCGGCUAACUACGUG